rnacentral:rRNA from 1 species
UACGAAGGGGGCUAGCGUUGCUCGGAAUCACUGGGCGUAAAGGGUGCGUAGGCGGGUCUUUUAAGUCAGGGGUGAAAUCCUGGAGCUCAACUCCAGAACUGCCUUUGAUACUGAGGAUCUUGAGUUCGGGAGAGGUGAGUGGAACUGCGAGUGUAGAGGUGAAAUUCGUAGAUAUCGCAAGAACACCAGUGGCGAAGGCGGCUCACUGGCCCGAUACUGACGCUGAGGCACGAAAGCGUGGG